AGGGGGAGGGGAGGAGCCCGCGUGGCCACGCCCCCCCGGAGGCAACACCAAUAGGGUGUGGCCACGCCCCGUUGGAGGCCACGCCCCCAUUUUAUGUGGCCACGCCCCCUCGAUGUGGCCACACCCACCAUUGGAGGCCACCCCCCCUGGAGACCACCACUUUUCACGUGGCCACGCCCCCUUGGAGGCCACGCCCCCAUUUGAUGUGGCCACACCCACCAUUGGAGGCCACGCCCCCUGGAGAUCACCACUUUCACGUGGCCCCGCCCCAUUGGAGUCCACGCCCCCAUUUGGUGUGGCCACGCCCCCUUUUGAUGUGGCCACACCCACCAUUNUGAGGCCACGCCCCCUGGAGACAGCACCACUUUCACGUGGCCCCGCCCCCUUGGAGGCCAUGCCCCCAUUUGAUGUGGCCACGCCCCCAUUGACGCGGCCCCGCCCACCAUGUGAGGCCACGCCCCUUUGAUGUGGCCACGCCCACUUGGAGCCACACCCAAUUGAUGUGGCCACGCCCACCAGGGGGGCCACGCCCCCUGGAGACAGCGCCACUUUCAUGUGACCACGCCCCCUUUGGAGGCCACGCCCCCUUGGGGACGACCCCCCCGAGGCCACGCCCCCAUUUGACGUGGCCACGCCCCUUCGAUGUGGCCACACCCACCAUUUGAGGCCACGCCCCCUGGAGACAGCACCACUUUCAUGUGGCCCCGCCCCCAUUGACGUGGCCACGCCCACCUUUCUGGCCUCUCCCCAUGUGGCCACGCUGACAUCGGCGGCCACGCCCCUUUCAUGUGACCACACCCCCCCUCGGAGGCCACGCCCCCUUUUAGGCCACGCCCACCAUUUGAGGCCUUGCCCUCUUGAUGUGGCCACGCCCCCAUGAGGCCACGCCCCCUUGGAGGUGGCCACGCCCACCUUGGAAGAACACCCCAUUUGAUGUGACCAAGCCGCUUGGAAAGCCACGCCCCUUUUGAUGUGACCACGCCCCCUUGAUGUGGCCACACCCACCAUUUGAGGCCACGCCCCCUUGGAGCCACACUCAUUUGAUGUGGCCACGCCCCCCCUUGGACGCCACGCCCCUUUGACGUGGCCACGCCCCCUUGCAGCCACACCCAUUUGAUGUGGUCACGGCCACGUUGGAGGCCACGCCCCCUUUGAUUCGGCCACGCCCCCAUGAGGCCACGCCCCUUUGGUGUGGCCACGCCCCCGCUUGAGGCCACGCCCCUUUGAGGUGGCCACACCCCCCUCUCGGAGGCCACGCCCCCCCGUGCUGUGGCCACUCCCCCAUUUGACUCCCCGCCCUAUUAACAUGCCCACACCCCUUGGAGGCCACGCCCAUUUUUGGCGGCCACGCCCCAUUCAUGAGGCCACGCCCCUUUCUGUGCCCAUCCCCCCAAUUUGAGGCCACGCCCUCAUGAACGUGGCCACGCCCCCUUGGAGACCACGCCCCUUUUGAUGUGGCCACGCCC
rnacentral:lncRNA from 1 species